rnacentral:rRNA from 1 species
GACGAACGCUGGCGGCGUGCCUAAUACAUGCAAGUUGAGCGCUGAAGGUUGGUACUUGUACCAACUGGAUGAGCAGCGAACGGGUGAGUAACGCGCGGGGAAUCUGCCUUUUAGCGGGGGACAACAUUUGGAAACGAAUGCUAAUACCGCAUAAAAACUUUAAACACAAGUUUUAAGUUUGAAAGAUGCAAUUGCAUCACUCAAAGAUGAUCCCGCGUUGUAUUAGCUAGUUGGUGAGGUAAAGGCUCACCAAGGCGAUGAUACAUAGCCGACCUGAGAGGGUGAUCGGCCACAUUGGGACUGAGACACGGCCCAAACUCCUACGGGAGGCAGCAGUAGGGAGUCUUCGGCAAUGGACGAAAGGCUGACCGAGCAACGCCGCGUGAGUGAAGAAGGUUGUCGGAUCGUAAAACUCUGUUGGUAGAGAAGAACGUUGGUGAGAGUGGAAAGCUCAUCAAGUGACGGUAACUACACAGAAAGGGACGGCUAACUACGUG